rnacentral:lncRNA from 10 species
CAUCUCAUGCCAAGAGUUAUCUGUGCGAGGGAGUUUAGUGGGUAUAAGAAUCAGGUUUUGGCAUCAGACAGAUCUGGGUUCAAAUAUGGAGUCUGCAGUUAGUGGGGUAGCAAUGGGCAAGUUACUCAACUGCCAAGACCCCAUUUCCUUAUCAGAGAGAACUGGCACCUUUUUUAGUGGGAUGGCAAUGGGCAAGUUACUCAACUGCCGAGACCCCAUUUCCUCAUCAGAGAAAACUAGCACCUUUUUUUACAUGUGGUUAACCUGAAUCUGGCCUGCAGAUAUUGAUAUGCUGGAGGAAUUUGCCUACUUGAGAACUCAGGAAGGUGGGAAAAUUCAUCUGGAAUUACUACCCAAUCAAGGAAUGCUGAUCAAGUAAGCAUGUUCUCUUUUGCUCUUCCAUGCUGAGUGCUCACCUUUUGUGUCUUUGUAUGAAGUAUUUGUAAAUGUCUAUACCUAUCAAAAAUUUAAUACAAAGGACUUUAAACCUGG